UACGGAGGGUGCAAGCGUUGCUCGGAAUUAUUGGGCGUAAAGGGUAGGUAGGUGGUCUCAUUUGUCUGGGGUGAAAGCCUUGAGCUUAACUCGAGAAGUGCCCCAGAAACGGUGAGACUGGAGUCCUGGAGAGGGUCGUGGAAUUCCCGGUGUAGCGGUGAAAUGCGUAGAGAUCGGGAGGAACACCAGAGGCGAAAGCGGCGACCUGGACAGGCACUGACACUCAACUACGAAAGCGUGGGGAGCAAAUAGG
rnacentral:rRNA from 1 species